GGACCGAAGUUUGGAACCGGGAACGAGUGGACCCGGUGAGAGACCCGAGAUUGGGAGCAGCUCCCCGGGUAAAGGCUGCAACAGCCUCCGAUGGCGGAGGUGAAGAUUCGGGCGCAGAUUCCGUGAGAUGUUUCAGCCACACAGGGGGAGCCCGGUCUUUCCCCGCCGUGGAUCGGGGCCUGUUGUCCGGAGUUUCCUCCCGGUCCUGUCUCCUGCUGCUGGGAUACGGGAGCAGGCCCGCAGCGGCUGCCGAUGGAACCCCGGUGUGUGAGCGCUCCCCUGUGCAAAAGGACAGGCUGAAGGUCAAGGGAGAACCAGGCGCAAAGAUGCUGCCUGAGGUGCUGAGUUCCUGCAGCGUUUUGUGUGAGUCGCUUUGGAUUUCCAGCAUUUGCAGACUUUCUCCUGUCAGUUCCAGAAAUCGCCAUCAGCGACCAGGCGAUCACAUGCGCAUGCGUAAGGUCGCGAACGUAUGGACCGAGUAUUUGUCUGAAAGUUAAAUGUUUAAACAUCAUGAAAACAGCACGGCAUCAACAAAACACCAGCUGUGCAGCAGCAAAGGCUCUCUGUGUGGGAACAUUUCAGUUACUGCGCAGCUCGGAAUAAUAUGGGACAGAGAAUAAUACUAAUGGAAGGAAUCAGCCUGAGCUAAGUCACAGAUUGAAAUUCCCAUUCUCACACAGACAGGAAUACUGUUGGGCAAUUAGAUGGACAGACCAGUUGCCGGCAUCAUGAGCAGUUGGAAGGAGAGUUUUUCCCCCAACUUGGGUUGAUCCUCGCUGUAACAGUGUGAUGUCAGAGUUCAGAAAGGAGAUUAAAAUUAUUUCAUAAUAUAUCGGCUGUGAAAAUUAAUCAGAUACAGGAGCAGAAUGAGGUCGUUUGGCCCAUCGAGUCUGCUCCACCAUUUCAUUACAGCUGAUCCAUUUCCAACUCAGCUGCACUCUCCUGCCUUCUCCCCAUAUCCCUUCCUGCCCUAACUAAUCAAGAAUCCAUCACCCUCUUCCCAAAAAUAGACCCAAUUACUUGGACUCCAGAGCAACUCAUAGCAGCAAAUCCCACAGAGUCACCACGCUCCGGUUAAAGAAAUUCCUCCUCAUCUCCAUUAUGAAAGAACAAAGCUCGAUUUUGAUGCUGCGUCCUCUGGUUUUCGACUCCCCCACUCUUGUCAACAUACUCUCCACAUCCACUCUAUCGAGACUUUUCAAUGUUCGAUAGAUUUCAAUGAGGGCCCCUUCAUUAUUCUGAACUCCAGUGAGUAGAGGCCCCGAGCCAUCAAAUGUUCUUCAUCAGACAAACCUUAUAAAUCCUGAAAUAUUUUUGUAAACUUCCUUUGAACGCUCUGCAAUGUAAGCACAUCUGUUCUACUUAAGGGGCCUGAAUCUGCUCUCAAUAGUCCUAGUGAGGCCACACUUUAAAUAUACUCAACAAUACAUCCUUGCUUUUAUAUUCUCGUACUCCUCAACAUUAUUUCCUCUCCAUUGAGAAAACAGUCUGCACUCUCAUUGCCUCUAAAUAAGUGGAUGACUUCUCUGAAUGAUGACUUUCAUUCAUUGAUGUCUUUUGUAAAUCAUUUUUACAGGUUAGAAAUGGCAAAAAUUGUGUCCGGGAACUUUAAACAGUCAGUUUGCUGUCUCUGCCCAGAUAUUUAAGGAGUUACUAGAUAUUUAGCAAUGUAUCACAGUUGAUCCUUGGAGAUGAAGAAUUUUGUCAUCACAGUUGGAAAAGUGCUUUGUGAAAUGAAGUUUUCUGUUGUAACUCACUGAAAUCCACUGGAACCGGUGAGCUGAGAACACACCAGCAUUUGUUCACUGGAGAUCAGUUCUUCAACUACAUUGAUUGUGCAAGGGAUUUACUGCAUCAGACAUUUGACUUAUGAAUUGACAAAGAACCGUGGGAAGGGAUUCACUCUUCACUCACUCAUCUCACCUGCAUGCACACCAGCGAGUUCACACUGGUGAGAAGCCGUUCACCUGCUCAGACUGUGGGAAGGGAUUCGCUCAUUCAUCGCAACUGCAGAGACAUCAGUCAAUUCACACUGGGGAGAAAUCAUUCAGACUGUGAGGGGAUUCAGUUGGUCAUCUGAACUGAAGAUAGUCACACUGGGGAGAGGCCAUUCAUCUGUUCAGACUGUGGGAAAGGGUUUAUUCGGUCAUCUCAACUAAGGUACAUCAGCGAGUUCACACUGGGGAGAGGCCGUUUACCUGCUCAGUCAGUGGGAAAGGAUUCACUCAUUCAUCUGUACUGAAGGUGCAUCAGAGAAUUCACACUGGGGAGAGUCCGUUCACCUGCUCAGACUGUGGGAAGAAAUUCACUGACUUAUCCAGGCUACAGGCCCACCAGCGAGUUCAUACAGGAGAGAGGACGUUCACCUGUUCAGACUGUGGGAAGGCAUUUACUCGGUCAUCUCAAGUGAUGGUACAUGAGCGAGUCCACACAGGGGAGAGGCCAUUCUCCUGCUCCCAAUGUGGGAAGAGAUUCUCUCAGUCCUCCCACCUUGUGACGCACUACCGAGUUCACAUUGGGGAAACUAUUUAAACAGGCAACAGGCUGCAGGCUGGAUAUUUCACCAUCAGAGUUGCUGAAUCAAGUUCAAAAGUGACUGUUGGUGCCGAACUCGGCAAUUACUGCUGCUGUUUAUCAAACCCAGUUCUGCACUCUGGUCACUGGGCGUGGGAGGCAUUCCUCGGCUAAUGUUCACGUUUAGUGGGACUGGAGUUUAAUGGUUUGUAUCUGUGAUGCAAAAAUCAGUUCUAAUUUAAAUCCUGUCCACACCUACAGAAUCUCCUUUCUCUCCCAGAAUAUCAUCUCUUAUAACUGCCACAAGGCCAAAAUGUACACUUCCCUAUUAAGCUUCAGAGUGGACAGUGCUGCCGGCCUUUCUGAACAGGUGAACGGCCUCUCUCCACUAUGAACUCCCCACCCACUCAGCAGUAUCCAACAAGGUGUUCUGCUGAGGAGAACGCCCACAGGACAGCCCUGCACUGUCUUCCUAAUGACCCUUACCUCUGCUGGUGGUCACGCUUCUCCUGUCCGAAGCUUGUACUCUGGGUGUGGCCACCUCUUCAGAUGUUUCAUUGACAGUAUCUUCAGGCUCCCGAAUGAUCCUGAGUACAUCCAACUCUCUGAACCAGUCAGUCCGGCGCUGUGAUUGGGUGCACUUCCUGCAAAUAGUCAUCGGAAAACUGUCAGAUGUCCAGAGUUCCCACAUCUGACUGGAGGAACAUCCCAUCCUGACUGCUCUGCACCAAAAUACACCACUGUCUGAAUGAAUUAACAUAUGCAAGAAAAUAUCGAACGUGAAUGGGUCAAUGACAGUGGAAGUAGAGUGUUCAACUGUCUGUGUUUUUGCCAUGAGGUCGAAGGAAUAGAGGCUGCCAUUUUGUGAAGCUGCUCUUUAACCCCCAUUUUGUGAACUGAUUGCUGUGGGAUAACCUGAUCAGAUCAACUUUACACAAGAAGUUACUGGUGUUCCCAUUGUAAGCCUGAAAUCACUCUCACAUAAUCUGUGCAUUAUGUACACUGUCAGGUUUGCAGAAGCAAUCUCGUUAUCUCUGAACCUGAAGUCUCUCUGAGAUAAGGUGUGUAUUACGUACAGUGGCAGUUCUGCAGAAGGAAUCUCGAUAUUUCUGCUGAGAGUCUGAGCGACACAGUUUGUCUGUUUGGAACCAUAGUGGAGGAGAACAAAAGAAAUUACCUUUGGCAUGAUGUUGUGUAGCCCUUGGACUACUUCCAAUGGAAAUCUGUUAGUCAUCAGCCUGAUGGACCUCAGCCAACAAGAAUGAGAUGCGUCCUCUGAACUGAUAAGAGUUGUUUCAAAUGUUUCAAAUUAGGCUUGUUUCAGAACAAGUAAAGAGUUUCAAAUGCAAAGGUGUGAUAACUCCUGAGACGAACUAUCAGAAGGAAGAUCCCCCAAGGAAGGGACUGGAGAACAAAUGAUGGAUCAUUUGGAUACAGUGGGAUCCCUUGUUCCAGUGUUGUGAAUUUGAGAAGUGGUCAGGGUGUGUAUUAGUACAGAAGGAACAGUGGAAUUCAUGUUUUAAGUUGUUAGCCUGGGGUCAACGUAGUUACUUUGUUGUUUGUGUAGGAAAAAUAAAAUGCGAGCUGUGAUUAAUUACGAUUUGCCUAGUGAGUUUCCGAACUGAUUCCAGUUGAUGAACGGUGAACAUAUUUUCGCGCCCUGGGUGCACUGGAAAAGAAAGAAAAGUGGUCUGGGACCCUGGUGACGAGUUGAACCACACAGUACGUUAGGAUAUUAAACUGUGAAAUGGAAAGGACAGGCAGAACCCAGGGAUUCAGAGGAUUUCAGAGAUUACUUUCAUCGUUAAUUAUUAAGGAAAUGGUCAAAUUAUGAGGCCUGGUUAGAAAAGUUUGACAGCCAAGGGUCCGGGAUUGUGGAGGAAGAAUUGUGAAAAAUAGUUAGUGAAAAUAAAUUUAAAAAAUUACAAGGGAUUAAAAAUGUUAUAAUGUGAUGUUUGUUGGAUGAUCUAAUUGAAGUAAAGAGAGAAAAAACUGAAACUGGCGGAGGAAUUGUGUAAGUGUAGGGAAGAGUUAGAAAUUCUGACGGUGCAGGAUCCGGUGAAUUUGAUCCACAUGAGUCAGUUUCAGACUCAGUGUGAAGCGUUAACAAGGGAAAAUGAGAAAACUGAAGAGGAGUAUAAACAGGCGGAUACAGAAUUAGAGAAAGGAAAAGUCAGGGUCGGGAUUUACGGCUGUUACGAAUGUCACGAAGAAAUCGGCAGCUGAGAAGAAAGGCUGCGCUGAUCGCAAGUGUUUAAAACAGAUGGAAAAUCUGCAAAGUGAACUCUCAGCUCGGAAAGGAGUGAUAUGUGCGAGGACGGACGAUGAUGGUGAUGCAGAUUGGGGUGAUUUAACGUAUGAAGAGACGCUUGUAUCACACACCGGGUUGCUCUCUUCAGUCACCUGAUGAGGUAAUCGUAGCCUUUGGCCGGGUUCAGAUAUGGUCAGGUAGUGUCCAAAUUUCAUAGAGUGUUUCAACCGUUAACCACUACACUGUCCAGUUGGUGGAUCAGAAGUGAGGGCCAAGUCACUGCCCAACUGUUCCUGACCUCGAGCUCAAACCCUCUCUCCAGCUCCAUACCCAGUAAGGGGCUCUUUCUGCUCCCUCCCCCAUCCUGCCAGCUGCUUGCUUCUUGCUCUUUUCAUCAAGGCCCAGCACAGACAGCAACCUCCAUGCUGGCCGUGCCGGGAACCCACUACAGUCGAUCUCCAUGAGGUACAGCCACGUCUGCCAUCCUUUGUCCCUGCACUCCGGGACUAACAGUGUCAGAGCCAGGAUUAUUGGGGAAUUGGCCCGCCUCCCAGCAGGUUUUUCCGAGAGUGGGUGGAAGCUUCAACACCCAGUGCCCCAAUGGCGCCUGUAGUAACGGAGGGACGGCAGGAAACACUAGAGCCGGGGGUGUGGGGCGUGUGUGACAGGGUAUUCUGUCCCUUUGACGUGGCCCAUUUGAG